rnacentral:snRNA from 1 species
GUGCUUGGUUCGGUAUCACAUAUACAAAAAUUGGAAUGAUACAGAGAAGAUUAGCAUGG